AAAAACAAAAAUAACCUCAUCUAACACUCCCCAGCCCAUCCACCCCCUGGACAAAAUCAAAACUGCGACUCUUCUUUUUCUCCGGCAAGACCUACCGAAAAUAGUCACCAUCGCCACCUUGUACCUACACUACCACCACCGCCGCCACAACUUCCCUCACUACCACCCACUACCAAUUUCGGCAACCUCUACCACCAUCAUACUCGAAAAUCAGACCCAUAAUCGAAAAUCACACCAUACUCGAAAAUCAAACCCAUAGUCGAACGACGACUACCCUAAAUGGAUACCGCCAUCAUCAUCUCAAAUCGCCAACAAUCUCUGCAAUGAAAACCCACAACCAAGAGUGACAAGGAUUUCAAAUUCUUUGCAAUUUCGAAACCCUACAAAAACUCGCUGUUCAUUGUCAAUUUCAAAAUCAACAAACCCCAAAACCACUACCAAAGAUCUAAAUUUCGGAUCUCUGCCAAACGACCAUCACUAUUGAUCGUCAACUCUCCACAUAACCACAAUCGAAUAUCAUAAAAUGGAAAAAUGAAAAUCAAAACUAUUAUAAUGCUUCAAUAGAUUUAUGAAAGUAAAAUUUGAUUUGAGUGGUGGCACCGGCCUUUGAGCGACGAUGCCGACAUUGUGAUGUGUUUGUGGUGAUCAACCUUUGGAUGUCGGUUUCUACCACCGGUGUGGGUGGGA
rnacentral:lncRNA from 1 species